UCACUCCGACGUUCGGAUAAACUUCUGUGAAACGGGCUACAUCUCUACUCACUUGCGACGACCGCCACUACCCGCCGCUGCUGCUGCAGCGUCGAGCGCCCACUAUCGUCACACAACCUGAGGCAAGAGAACGUGAAACCGGCUAGAAAGAAGAGUUUGUCCGGAAGUAGAGCGGAAGCCACGAUGGGAACCAUUAGCGACAAGGAUCGUCAGAAAACCGUGGACGGGACAUCAGCUGCAAACACCUUUUUGCUAGGUGCUGCCGGGAUUACUGCAAUAUUUGCGCCGCCGGUAGCAAUUGGAUUGCUGAUAGCCUCCGCUGGAACAACUGCCGCAACUAUUACUGCUGCGACUCUGCCAGGAGAUGACGAGACGUAGCAGGAACUCAUAAACCCGACUUCUGCGAUUGGCACUCCAAGCCCGCCUCGGCAAGAAGGAAUUAUGGGUUAUUUUUCUUAGCAGCAGCAAGUAGUGUACCGGGCCUAGUAGUGUUAGGUAACUGAGGUGGCGUUAAUGCUUAGACGUCAAUCGACAAGGAUUAGUUUCACGAAAUAAAACGUUUUUCAGUAAUG